ACGCCAGAAAGGAGGUGGUCCAGACAAUGAUCGACAGUUAUCGGACCGGCGAGGUGACUGUCCGCUAGGACGCCCCCGUCUAGGCCUCCGCCUGGAUGUCGGUGACGUCCCGGCGAAUCCACAGCAGGCACCGGACCCCGGGCAGCCGGUGGCCGAGCACGCUCUCGGCCCAGGUCCAACCGGCCCGCCUCCGGCGGAAGCGCGCCCGGGGUUCUUCACGC
rnacentral:sRNA from 1 species